rnacentral:rRNA from 1 species
UACGUAGGGUGCGAGCGUUAAUCGGAAUUACUGGGCGUAAAGCGUGCGCAGGCGGUUUUGUAAGUCAGAUGUGAAAUCCCCGGGCUCAACCUGGGAACUGCGUUUGAAACUACAAGGCUAGAGUGUGGCAGAGGGGGGUGGAAUUCCACGUGUAGCAGUGAAAUGCGUAGAGAUGUGGAGGAACACCGAUGGCGAAGGCAGCCCCCCUGGGUUAACACUGACGCUCAGGCACGAAAGCGUGGGGAGCAAACAGG